GAUUCUGGCUCAGGAUGAACGCUGGCGGCGUGCCUAACACAUGCAAGUCGAACGAAGCACUUGUUACGAUCCCUUCGGGGUGACGACUUGUGACUGAGUGGCGGACGGGUGAGUAACGCGUGGGAAACCUGCCCUAUACCGGGGGAUAACAGUUGGAAACGACUGCUAAUACCGCAUAAGCGCACGAGAUGGCAUCAUCUAGUGUGAAAAACUCCGGUGGUAUAGGAUGGUCCCGCGUCUGAUUAGCUAGUUGGUGAGGUAACGGCCCACCAAGGCGACGAUCAGUAGCCGACCUGAGAGGGUGACCGGCCACAUUGAGACUGAGACACGGCCCAAACUCCUACGGGAGGCAGCAGUGGGGAAUAUUGCACAAUGGGCGAAAGCCUGAUGCAAGCGACGCCGCGUGAGCGAUGAAGUAUUUCGGUAUGUAAAGCUCUAUCAGCAGGGAAGAAAAUGACGGUACCUGACUAAGAAGCCCCGGCUAACUACGUGCCAGCCGCGGC
rnacentral:rRNA from 1 species